GAUUAACGCUGGCGGCAUGCCUAAUACAUGCAAGUCGAACGGAAGCAGCAAUGCUUUAGUGGCGAACGGGUGAGUAACACGUAGGGAACCUACCUAUACGACGAGGAUAACUACUGGAAACGGUAGCUAAAACUGGAUAGGAUCAAUUGAGGCAUCUUGAUUGAUUUAAAGAUCCUUCGGGAUUACGUAGAGAUGGCCCUGCGGCGCAUUAGCUAGUUGGUGAGGUAACGGCCCACCAAGGCGACGAUGCGUAGCUGAGCUGAGAGGCUAAACAGCCACACUGGGACUGAGACACGGCCCAGACUCCUACGGGAGGCAGCAGUAGGGAAUUUUCGGCAAUGGGGAAACCCUGACCGAGCAAUGCCGCGUGAACGAUGAAGGUCUUCGGAUUGUAAAGUUCUGUGAUUGGGGAAGAAUGGUAUUCUUAGGGAAUGAGGAGUACAUGACGGUACCCGAUUAGAAAGCCCCGGCUAACUAUGUGCCAGCAGCCGCGGU
rnacentral:rRNA from 1 species